rnacentral:lncRNA from 1 species
GAGAAGGUCCCCUCGAGACCCUGGAAUAACUGGACCUUCUGGAUGGGUCAAGUGGCACCAGACGUGGGGCACGAGGUACAACCACCCUCUGGAAAACGGAUUUGAGAGGAUCGCCAUGGAUAGAUCUCUCACAAUAUUGAUGAUGCUGGUCAUGACAGUGACAGCCAGGCAAGCCCAGACCUAUCAGAACCCUCCCCAUGUCUUCUAAGGGCUUUCUUCAACUUCUGUUUCCUUGUAGACACCAUUUGUAAACACCCAGAAGAAACAACAAGAGCA